ACUGGAAUCCACUGUGUGUGCUGUCGUGUCUCCUACUGGCCUCUUCGAUCUCAGCAAAACCAAAGUGCUGUGCUACCUAAUUGCUUUUUUCUUUUUUCCUUUCCAACUUUCUGUUUCAGAGGCAGCAGCAGUGAGCUGCAAUUGCAGCCAGCCCUUUCCCCAGCCCCACUCCCUUCUAUGAACUCCUAGCCUUCUUCGCAGACAGCCUAGCAUCUGGCUAAAGGGCACCUUGUUAGCAAACACAAUUUCUAUGAACGGAUUACCCAUGGACUGAAGCUGUUGUUGCCAGCGGCUGGAGGAGGGGACUCCAGACAUGAGUGUUCCAUGAGUGAUGCAGAUGUGGAGUGGAGGUCUCAGAGGCCUGAGUGACCGCAGCACAUGGCUUCGAGGAGGAGACGUGGGACGCGGCACAGCAGUCCGAAUGGGCGUCUUCUGCACAGUCUUCCAGCUUCCAGGGAGCGUGUGUGUUCACCAAGGCCGAAUGCUACAAGACUAGAUCACAGACAUGAUAGGAAUUCUGAAGACAGAACCACUGAGUCGGUACAGGACACACUGAGGAGGAGAGACUGGAUUUCUGAAGAUGCCCUCCCAGGCACACUGGCAUUUCUGGAGAGCAAGGAGCCCUGCAGAUGCAGUUUCUGACCCUUCCUCUCUGGAAAAAGUUCUAAGUAUUGGCAGUCUUCUACAAUCCCUCUCUACUUAAAAUGCAAGGCAAUCAGCCACCUCCAGAACCACUAAUAAUACAAACACAGCUGCUUUUGAGCACUUGCUUUUGGCUCAGCACUGUCCAAAGCCCCAUACAUCCCAUGUUCUUCAUUUCAGCAUGACGCAUGGACCUAACACACAAAACAGGUGAAGACACACUGGUGCCCAAUGAGCAUGACAGGAAAAGCCCCCUUUCUCUGCACACAUUUCAGUUUUGACUGCAGCACAUUCAAUUAUAACUCCAGCAUUGGGAAACACAUUUUUUUCCCCCAAAUCAAGCUGUUCAUAGAUAAGCCAUGAAGUUAAGGGAAAUCAAGACACGCACAUGUGAGCGUCACAUGGAGAGCCAGGGAAAGUCUAGCUCCACACCAAGCACACAUCAGUGGUGCCUGAAGGGAAGAGGCUUCUUCCGAGGCAGUCAUCUGAGACCACGGCUCAGAUGUGCAACCCUUCCCCAGGAGGCCAGGAACCAAAAGGUGAGGAAGAAACAGACCAGCUACAUGGCAUUUGUGUUUUACAUUUAAUAUUACAUAUGGACUCCAGACAAUUAUGCAAAUAGCAGAAUAUAUAUGAAAAGAAAAUGGGGUGAGUUUCCUAAUAGUAUCAUUUUUUAAUGGAAAACAAUUGAGUUCCAUAUGUUAUAAUCAAGUCAGUAAACAGAGUUCCUAUUUUGGAAGUGAUGGGGUUUAUAUUUGAAUUCUGUUGCUUUGAUUGCUUAGACACAUUAACAAAUCAAACUACACAGCACAUCUAUCUAUGCCCUAAAUAUUUUGUAAUAUUCAACAAUACACUUCUCCUAUGCUGACUUUGAAAGUGUUAAAAAGAAUUAUGAUGAUGAUAACUGGCUAAGUUUAAAUUACUAAACUGACUUUCCAUUAUGGAUGCCAAAUACAGAUUUCUUUCUGUGUGUUCAGAUAAUGUUCAUCUUGUAACCAAAAACAGCAGAGGGAAACCGCCACAGUUACAACCCAUACCACAUGGGGGGAGGCUGUUCUUGUUAAACUUCGCCCAGACAGAGAGUGGUUAGAGAGAGGUGUCAUUUAAUAAAGUCUGCUGAUUUUAAGCCCAAAUAAAAAGCAAAGACCACCAAGAGUGAUUCAUGUCCCACACAGGAGAGAGAACUGAGCCAGACCAGUUCCAUCCCUGAGCGAAGUCAGAGCAGGCUCUCUACUAUCUUCCUGGGAGGGGAAGGCUGCCUCUUCCUUUCCAUCAAGACAAUCUCCAGGUUCAGGACUGCUUCCCAGGCCAUGGCGUGUGGCUUGGUGCAUUCUCACUGGAGGGCCUGCCUGGGAACCAUGGGAAGCUACUCUAAGAGUGAGGCAUACUGAGUGGAAAUAGGCAACUCCAGUGGCUUUUCCCAGUGAAUCAGUCCUAAGCAAGACAAUAGAUGCCCUGCCUUUGAAUCAAAUAUAGACACAAUAUAAUGUGGAAAAAACUGGAAACACUCAAGUAGGGCUUCCAAACUUAACAUGACUAUGGUGAAAAGAUCUGAUAUUGGAAUCUGUUUUUACUCUUGGAUUACCUAUUGAACUUAAGCCAAGCUUUUUCAAGUUUUUCACCAAUCUAGACUCUAAUACUUCUACAUGGAUACUUUGGCUAAGUCUAAUCAUCUCAAUUAGACAUAAAUAUUUAGUAAUCUAAACUGGAUCUCUAAUAAUUUAGACAUUUCAACUUCACAGUCAUAAUUGUAAAAACUUUAAAAAAUAGUCCUUAUGUUGCCAGGCGUGGUGGCUCACGCCUAUAAUCCCAGCACUUUGGGAGGCUGAGGCGGGUGGAUCACGAGGUCAGGAGUUCAAGACCAGCCUGGCCAAGAUGGUAAAACCCCGUCUCUAUUAAAAAUACAACACUUAGCUGGGCAUGGUGGCGGGCGCCUGUAGUCCUAGUUACUCGGAGGCUGAGACAGAGAAUUGCUUGAAUCCGAGAGGCGGAGGUUGCAGUGAGCCGAGAUCGCACUACUGCACUCCAGCCUGGGUGACAGAGCAAGACUCCGUCUCCAAAAAAUAAAAAAAUUAGUCAUUAUGCAACACAAUAUUCUUUAAUAUUAAUAGACUAGAACACAGCAUAAUUAAUGAAGACAACAGAAAGUUUUAACCUACACUACGAGCACAUGCUUGUUUAAAACACGGGCCUAAUACACUGAAAACAUAAACCAGCCACUUAGAGUUCAGAGGUCACCUCAUGUGAUUUUCAUUCACAGACCAGACCAUGGCACGUUGGGAUGUCAAGUCUGGACUUUUCUGCUGACCUGUAUUGCAUUAUCGGGUCUCACAGGGUGCCUGGGAAAUGGACGGAGGCAGUGGUCGCCUGAUCUAUUUCUGCACUUUGCCCAGUGUAAUAGGAGGAUCCGUGGGAAGCCAGCAGUGGAGAAGUUUAUGGAGAGCUGUGUAGUGAACCCGAAAUUGCACUCCCUGCUUCCCCUCCCACCCACGGCCACUCCAUUUUCCCUGCUUCUUUCUUCCUCUGACCAUACUACACGCACCUUAGCACAAACAUCUGAUGCCUUCUUACAAGUUUUCUCACGGUUGGCCAAAGAGUGUAGAUUAACCGAGAAGAAAACCCAAAUCGCUGGGGGGCCACUUGAUGCUGCUGUAGUCUCUGAAAAUACAUGCGAAAUGUGUGACAAUAUACCUGGUGGCUCUCCUGAGAGACGCGACAGGUCCACGGAAGGAAACCAUGGAAGGAUAUGCCAAAGUUUCCAAACAAGGAUGAGUUAAUAUGUUAGUAACUGACUGCAAGAAUAUUUAGCUGACACAGAAUAAAGAGAUCAGAACAAAAAAGAUACAAACAGGAACUACCAGUUUCUACACCCAGACAGAUAACUAGGCCAGGUAAACCCCAAAUCGAGACAGACACGAUGACAGUGCUUGGAAAUGUUGUGGGAAAGCUUCUAUUUAAAAAGCAUCAGAUUCGAUCCAGAGCCACUUCUACCUAAUAUUACACACGUAAAGAUCUAUUUAAAUAUUUAAUAUUUAUGUGUAAUUAUGGCAGUUAUCAUGCACUUGAGAAUCAGGGCCAUGUUACUCAUGUAACAGGACAAGGUGAGUCCUGACAUGGAUGCUGGUGCAAGUGUGAGCAGAAUAAAUGUGUGGGGGGGGAGGAGGCCCACACAUAAAGCUCUUCUACCUCUAGAGCAAACUGCCAAGCAGGGCGAGAUUCAUAAGUCAAUUCGCAUUACUCUCCACAAAGAAUUAUUUUAUUUUUCUUUUCAUUUCAAAAUUAUACCAUUAGUGUAUAUGAUCAUUGUAAGCAGAUGGCUAAUUUCAGUUGAAAAUAUACACAUCAAUAAUAUAUGGCAUGUUGUUCUGUUUAUUUUGCUGACUGCACGGAGACAACCAUAAACAAAUGGUCACACACACCGCCUUUACCUGAGACCACUUUGGGCUACUGAAUGGUGGACUUAGAAUGAUUUUUAGCUUUCUGUGUUUUCUUUGCAAUAAAUAGUCAAUGCUUUUGUGAUAAGAUUAAAACAUUAUUUUUUUAAUGUAGUUUCAGAAAAACUUUGUGCUAUCUUUCAUAAUUGACUUUAAAAAUAAGCAUUUAAAAUAUUUAAUGCCUACAGACUUAAACUUUUGAUGCAAUUCCCUAACAAGCAGAUAAAUAAAAUUAUCCUAGUUGAAGUUGUGGCCUAUUUAAUACAUAAAUCUCUGAGUCCACAGAAGCUGUAGUAACAAACUUGUUUACUCAAAUAAGUGAAAAAAAGGGAAUAUAUACAAUUUAUGCUUAAUCAUUGAACUGUACAAACAUUUCAAAGAUUCUAAAUCCCAGCUUUACAAAGAGGCUCAGCCUAGCAGUUGCAAACCAAAAGUCAUGUAAUAUCACAGGUUUAUUCCCAAGCCAGUGUUCUGUAUCAAGUAUACUUCGAAUUUACCCCAUUUUGGAAAACAUGUACUUUUUCCAUAAAAGGCUUUAAUUUUUAAUUAAAUGUCAAAGCCUACAGUGAAGAAGAGAAGUCGAGUACAAACUGGUUCAUCUGCAAUUCCGAAUGCAGAUGAGCAGUCUGCAGUUCUGCUGUAAUUGGCUGGUGUUUCCAGUCACCUCCUGACAAAGGAUGCACGCUGCUCUGGAUAAGCCCAAACCCUUGACCCUUCACCCCACCAUGUACUUUGGGCCUGCCACAUCUAUACGGAGCUAGGAGAGCAUUAACACCAAAGACCAAGGCUCCUUUCCGAAGUGCUCUGUGCACUUGGGAAUACGAAUACUCCCAAAGAAGGACUCUGCAUCAUGAGCAUGUGAAUUUGAUGGCACACUUCAUAAACAGGCAGGAUCUUCAGUCUUGCAUGUCUUCCAUUUAAUGCUAGAUUGCUGCAACAGCUUAAUAAGGUAUUCUCUGAAUGCCCCAAACAUAAGAGUUUUGUUAUAAAAUGAAUAAAUAAAGGCAGGGCCUACGAAAGACACAGGCAGUAAUAAGAAAUACUUGGAAAAUGUUUUUCCUUUUUUGUGGAUAGCACUUUACUGCCCCCUUUUGCACUUUAACAUCAGAACAAGUUUCUACGCAGACUUAUUCUGAAAUCAGAGAAAUACUGGGGUGUAGCGAUAGGGUGUCAGGUUUAUACGGAAUUAGGUUACCAGAUACUACUGCUUAGAGUAAAAAGUAAUUACCUUAAAACUUCCAGCGAGGGCACCACUAUCUUCUCAGCGGCUUUAAACCUCCAAGAAAUAAGGUAGUGAUUGGAGGCUUUGACAUUUUCUGCUUUAAUUUGGAUGUAUAUGUGUGUUGGAACAAUUGCGUGUUUUCACAGGUGCCCCUUCUUUCACACUUUCCUAAAACAAAUAUCGUCUGCAACAUGAACCUGAUUUAUUCAAGGAAAAGAAAAGGGGUCUAAGAGCAGGCUAUACAAUUUGGAACCAUUAAAGUGUUAUAAAUCUGAGAGCAAAGACUAGAUGGGUGGGGGUGGGGGGUACAAUUCACACCAAUGACAAGCAAAAUCUUUUCAAGAAAAGGAAAGAUGAGAAGCACAGAAAUUCAAACACACGGUGAACUGAUCGGCACACAAACCAGUUUAGCAACUCUUCAAGGUGAGGUGUAUUUGUGCCUCUUCAUCACGCAUACCUUUGAAAAAAAGUAAUUAAACUACAGUCUAAAGGAAAGUUUUAUUUGUCAAACUUGAAUCUGCAAUAACAGAGCUAGAGGGCCCCCAGUUCCUGGCCCAAAGACCUCAACUUGUAUUUGAUACAGCUGCGUGUGAUGCUGUGUAUCCUUUUAUUUAAACACAAUCCAUUUUCCUCUGUCAGUCUACAAUUAGCAUAUGAGUCAAAAUAAUAUUAAAUUUCACAGCCCACAGUGCUGCA
ensembl:lncRNA novel transcript, antisense to EFNB2